UUAAGAGAUACGUGAAAAAAUAUCAUCCAGGUCCUGACUUAACACAGAUGUUACUUUGUCCAGUUACCAAGUCCAAACGAGAGCGUGCAAGCACAAGGACGCAGCACCAACGAGCCAGGGACCCAGCCGCACCCGGAAGCCAAGAGCCAGGAAAACCGCUGCGCGCGGGACCACGAGGCGACCGUUGCCAAGACGGCCACAGGCCAGGCGGGCCCGGGACACACACCGAGCAGUGCCUGGAGGUCAGCUCCUCCCCGCCCCGGCGCCCACCGACGGGCCCGACCUCGCUGACCUAACCCCAGGCCAGAAGCUUCCUGGCCCUCGCUGCAGCUGCUGCCCUGUGCGGGCCCAAGAAGUCCCUGGGCCCGGGCUUUAGCCCUGCCUUCUCCAGGCUUCCCUGUUUGUCGACUGUGGUGGAGCCGGGACCCCGGCAUCGCCGCCCCUUCCCCUUCCCGGGAUGGCACUGUGCGCUCCGCCCAGCCCCAGGUGCUGCUGCAAGGGUGGCCCCAAACGUUUACUAUAGAGAGGUGAGACCCGGAGACGAUGGUGUGACAACAGACGGAGAUGGAAGUGAUGCCACCACAAGCCACAAGCCCGGAGAUGCGAGGAAAGCAUCGACCCUUGGAGCUUGAGAGGCAGUGCGCCCCGCUGAGACCUCGAUUUCAGACUUCUGGCCUCCUGAACCCUAGGACCGCACUGCAAGUUAACCAGUCCUUGUUCUAUCUGCUGGGGCAAAUACGCCCCACCCACUAAUUUACAAAAACCAAGAGCAAACCAACCUGGUGAAACGCAGCAUCCCGUAACAGAGCACUUCCGAGCUUGCUUUCCUUACCCCAGGUGGACACCUUUGCCUUCCAGAAUCCUUGAAGGGAACGUUUCACAGCGUGGAGGAGUUUCUGCGCUCUGAACUGUGGACUGAUGGCCUUGGUCUCCAUUUCCUGAAGCACUUUGUUUUGUGUUGUGCCAGUCACGAAAUCUCCAAAGAGAGCAAGCUGUUACGUGUAGCAGGGGUCAGGUCAGAGAUUUUACUUCAGGCAUCAGUCGUCAGCAGCCCGCCCCCUCCUCGUGUUGAGGUUUUCAAGCAUUUCUUUCUGUUCCUUUAGCUCUGGCGCUUCUAGCAUUCAGCUGCUUCUUGGGCAAGCAGCCUUACUUUCCUGAAGGUGAAUGUUGUCAUCGAAACCAUUAGUUAUUCCCCUCUGAUGUUGUUCUCCAUGUUACUGUGAUGCCUCUAGGACAGUUUUGGCCCCGCUCCCAUGGGACUGAAGGGAUUUUGAUGUCUCAGCCAGUGGCUAUACCUCUGGCCUUCAGGAAGUGGCAUCCUUUCCAUUAAAUAUGGAACCUUUCUGUUUUCACUCAAGGAGCUCUGCUGUAUUUCCACUCGUUUGCCUCUUUAUUAAGUGUUCUGUAGACAGGGUUCAUGAACGUUGGGGAACUGGCCUCCAUCCACUGCAGGUGGCCCCACAGCUUCUAAGACUUCUGUAAUCAGUCUCAUCUUCAUAUACUGGCUUCUUCAUAUACUUCAGCUUGGGGAUAGAGGUCAUGGCCAGUUCCUUUUCCCAUAAAGUAAGUCCUCCUUGCCCUAUAAAAACAAACACAGCAGUCUCCUAGGGAGGCUCAAAAACACAUUAGAAGUUUGUCCACGAUUCAGACUCCACUGUUAGAGCAUUACACAGCUGCUCCAGGUGGCUGUGAAGUCUGUGACUCCGUGACUCCAGAGAGCUGUGCGGCUCUGCUUCUGCCAGGAUCCUGUUGGCUGCAGCGGCCUGCCUGGAAGCUUCUAACCCAUACAAGUGUCUGACUCUAGGACGGCCCAUCAGUGGGCCUGGGAAGAGAAGCCAGGGUUUUCUAAAUUCAUGCUUACUGACCCUGCUUCUGUUACUGCGCAGUUUCUAAUUGUAUAGCACAUUCUAGGAAAUGUAAAAGACGUAAGACAGCCAGAGUUUACAGUCAUGAAGAGUGUCCACUGGAGGCACACGUGGCUUCUCAGGAACCCUAGGAGACUGAAGCCGUGCAUGCUUCUCUUCACGUAUGUUUUUAGGCUGCAGUCAUGGGGGAGGCUGCAGUGGAGGACACCCUUGUCCGCGAUCCUGAGCAAGGCUGUCUUCCACGCCUGAAACUGUCCUGCACAUGAGAAUUCCCAGCCUUUCUUCAAAGGCUACGUAAAUCUCUCUCCUUGGAAAGAUAGUCUCUCCUUUGUGAUCCCUCAGAACAGGAGAGUCGGCUCCCACAAAGGCUGGCCUGUUUGUGCAUGCGACCCUCACUAAGAAGCAAGGCUAUUACUACUUUAGAUCAGAAUGAAAUGCUGGGUGUCAGUGAGUACGGAGGAAGCACAGUGUAGUUUUUAGCCAGUCUUUCUUAAAGGCAGUAUUGCCCAUUAUAUGAGGUAUCCUAAACAAAACUGGUUAUAUUAACUACUAAUAAAAUCACUUGAAUAUGUUUGCUUUUGAAAUUUAUUUUCAAGAUGUAAUGCAUUUUUUUCUUUUUGCAAACUGUUGCAUGAAUAUUUUCUGGAAGGUAACUUUAUGUCCUUUUUAAAAUGUUACGUGACAGAAUAAAACAAGGAUUUCUAGAUUGUCA